rnacentral:rRNA from 1 species
UACGGGGGGGCAAGCGUUGUUCGGAAUUACUGGGCGUAAAGGGUCCGUAGGUGGCCAACUAAGUCAGACGUGAAAUCCCUCAGCUUAACUGGGGAACUGCGUCUGAGACUGGAUGGCUCGAGUGCAGGAGAGGAAUGCGGAAUUCCAGGUGUAGCGGUGAAAUGCGUAGAUAUCUGGAGGAACACCGGUGGCGAAGGCGGCAUUCUGGACUGCAACUGACACUGAACGACGAAAGCCAGGGGAGCAAACGGG